rnacentral:rRNA from 1 species
AACGAACGCUGGCGGCAGGCAUAACACAUGCAAGUCGAGCGCCCCGCAAGGGGAUCGGCAGACGGGUGAGUAACGCGUGGGAACGUACCUUUUGGUUCGGAACAACUCCAGGAAACUGGAGCUAAUACCGGAUAAGCCCUAACGGGGAAAGAUUUAUCGCCGAAAGAUCGGCCCGCGUCUGAUUAGCUAGUUGGUGAGGUAACGGCUCACCAAGGCGACGAUCAGUAGCUGGUCUGAGAGGAUGAUCAGCCACACUGGGACUGAGACACGGCCCAGACUCCUACGGGAGGCAGCAGUGGGGAAUAUUGGACAAUGGGCGCAAGCCUGAUCCAGCCAUGCCGCGUGAGUGAUGAAGGCCUUAGGGUUGUAAAGCUCUUUUGUCCGGGAAGAUAAUGACUGUACCGGAAGAAUAAGCCCCGGCUAACUUCGUG